rnacentral:lncRNA from 1 species
CUUGAGGACAGAUCCAACUUAAUUGCUCAAGGCUUGUCAAUUCCAAUUGAUAUAACCUUCCACGUUAUACUCUUGAUUGAUAUAUUAUCGAGAUAUUGAUUUUGCUUUGAAUGGCUGCCCAUCUAAACAGUCAUAUAAUGUGCAUAUACUGAAAACUUGUGGUUUAGCUCCUGGACAUUAGGUACAGAGUGCAUAGUGAAGAAUCCAAAAGUUGAAUUGUGUACGAUAAGGCUGGGUUGUAUAUAAAUGGAUCUGGAUUGUUUAGUUCUUUGUGAUACAAAAUAUAAUAGCAAUUCAUAUUCCUCCCAUCCUCUCUAGAUGGAAUACAUGUUUGUCUCAAUAAUUAGCAAUUUAUGCAUGUGCAAUUUGAUUUCGAAGCUCUUUUGCUGCUCUGAUAGACAAUUGUGCUUCUUGUCUCUAUUGAAUCUUGC